GACUCGGACCCACGCGGCCCGGACGCCUAAAUCUGGUCAGGACCGGAAGGGAGCAGCCACACGGGAUGCUCCGAGCAGGCGUGGACUCCGGGUCACC
rnacentral:SRP_RNA from 1 species